AGGUUUGAUUAUGGCCUGGAUUGAACGCUGGCGGGAUGCUUUACACAUGCAAGUCGAACGGCAGCACGGACUUCGGUCUGGUGGCGAGUGGCGAACGGGUGAGUAAUGUAUCGGAACGUGCCUAGUGGGGAUAACUACGCGAAAGCGUAGUUAAUACCGCGCACACAUUCUUCGGGAAAGCGGGGACCUUCUCGGGCCUCGCACUAUUAGAGCGGCCGAUAUCGGAUUAGCUAGUUGGUGGCAACGGCUCACCAAGGCGACGAUCCGUAGCCGGUUUGAGAGGACGACCAGCCACACUGGGACUGGAUAUUAUCGGGCCCAGACUCCUACGGGAGGCAGCAGUGGGGAAUUUUGAAUGGGGAAACUCAGAUCCAGCCAUCCCGCGUGUGCGAUGAAGGCCUUCUCUGGUUGUAAAGCAACUUUUUGGCAGAGGAAGAAACGGCACGGAUACCCGUGCACUGAUGGUACCUGCAGAAUAAGCACUGGCUAACUACGCUGCGCAGCCGCGGUAAUACGAAAGUGUGCCGUUAAUCGGAAUUACCGGGCGUAAAGCGCGUGCGCAGGCGGUCUGGAAAGAAAGAUGUGAAAUCCCAGAGCUUAACUUUUGGAACUGCAUUUUUAACUACCGAGCUAGAGUGUCAGAGGGAGGUGGAAUUCGCGUAGCAGUGAAAUGCGUAGAUAUGCGGAGGAACACCGGAUGGCGAAGGCAGCCUCCCGGGAUAACACUGACGCUCAUGCACGAAAGGUGGGGAUAAACAGGAUUAGAUACCCUGGUAGUCCACGCCCUAAACGAUGUCAACUAGCUGUUGGGGCCUUCGGGCCUGGUAGCGCAGCUAACGUCGCAGUGAAGCUGACCGCCUGGGGAGUACGGUCGCAAGAUUAAAACCCAAAGGAAUUGAUUGGGACCCGCACGCGAAGAUGACGGAUUAAUUCGAUGCAACGCGAAAACCUUACCUACCCUUGACAUGUCUGGAAUCCCGAAGAGAUUUGGGAGUGCUCGCAAGAGAACCGGAACACAGCAUAUUGUCGUCAGUCGUGUCGUAGAUGCGGUUGCGUCCUGGCAACGAGCGCAACCCUUGUCAUUGCUGCUGAAAGGGCACUUUAACGAGACUGCCGGCGACAAACCGGAGGAAGGUGGUGAUGACGUCAAGUCCUCAUGGCCUUUAUGGGUAGGGCUUCACACGUCAGCGGCGUAAUGGUCGGGACAGAGGGUCGCCAACCCGCGCAGGGAGCCAAUCCUGCAAAACCCGAUUCGUCCGGAUCACAGUCUGCAACCGGACUGCGUGAAGUCGGAAUCGCUAGUAAUCGCGGAUCAGCAUGUCGCGGUGAAUACGUUCCCGGUCUGUACACACCGCCCGUCACACCAUGGGAGUGGGUUUUACCAGAAGUAGUUAGCCUAACCGUAAGGAGGGCGAUUACCACGGUAGGAUUCAUGACUGGGGUGAAGUCAAAAACAAGGCAG
rnacentral:rRNA from 1 species